rnacentral:siRNA from 1 species
AUGCCAUAAGCUGAGUGAGGUCGA